UGUUUGCAACAUGUCAUCCUCAUUGCAAGAUGAAAGUGGUGGCAAUAGUCAUUAUUUGUACUACACUCCUCUCAAAUGAAAAGGAAAAGUGUAAAGGAUAAAAGUCACGGAAAGGCUCUUAAUCUUUCUAUGAGAAUAUUAAAUUCCUGAAAUCUACUGUUUCAAGGCAGUUCACAUUAUUAAGACAAGUCAACCGCACGAGGAAUUUUAUUCCCUUCGGAAAGACGCUGAGAGUCAAGACAAUAAAUACUUGAGAACAAUAGUAGAUUGUAUGGUCAAUGUAAUCAUUCUUUGGAUUUAUAAGUUAAGACUUUACUCAUAUCUCUAGGGAGGAGAUACAGUUUCAUCUUUAGUAUGUAGAUAUUAUCACUUACUGAUCUGGCAGUCUGGAAAAGGAUUGAUAUUGAGCACAACGGGGGACCAGAGUUGUGCGACUUCUGCUGGAGAUGAAGAAAACUCUCAUAUUGAAGCAUGCCAUUUGGAUCUGUACUCUGAGAUGAAGAGAUAAGCAGAAAAUAAACAGAAUUUGGAGGAAAAGAAAACUAUCAGUUAGUUUGACCUCAAUACGCCGAGACUGGUCCUGUCAGCUUGCAGCCCUUCGCCUUUCCCCCUACAGACCGAAGUAUCCUCCUUUUAAACAAGAGUCACUGGCUGAGUCCUGGUGCUGGCUGCUGAGCUUCCAUGAGCCUAAUGCAUUCAAGUGGCCAAGGAACAAGCUUUGAGAGCACAGCUAACUACUGGGAAGGGAACGACCUGUCCCUAGCCCCAGUACUGAGAAAUGCAGAAAUGCAGAACAGUGACUUCCUAUGAGCAACUGGAUGUAUUUUCCCACAUGUGGCAAACUACAUUGCAUUGAUGAUUGAUGAAGACUUCAUCUGGUGGUUUAAAAGCCUGAAGAGCAUAAGAUCUGCAGGGUGGGACAGAUUCUGUAUUUUUAGUCCACAUAACGGCCUGGGUUAAUGAAGAAUCAAACUUCCUUUCUAUGGCAAGAUCAAA